rnacentral:rRNA from 1 species
AGUGAACGCUGGCGGUAGGCCUAACACAUGCAAGUCGAACGGCAGCACAGAGGAGCUUGCUCCUUGGGUGGCGAGUGGCGGACGGGUGAGGAAUACAUCGGAAUCUACUCUGUCGUGGGGGAUAACGUAGGGAAACUUACGCUAAUACCGCAUACGACCUACGGGUGAAAGCAGGGGAUCUUCGGAACUUGCGCGAUUGAAUGAGCCGAUGUCUGAUUAGCUAGUUGGCGGGGUAAAGGCCCACAAAGGCGACGAUUCGUAGCUGGUCUGAGAGGAUGAUCAGCCACACUGGAACUGAGACACGGUCCAGACUCCUACGGGAGGCAGCAGUGGGGAAUAUUGGACAAUGGGCGCAAGCCUGAUCCAGCCAUACCGCGUGGGUGAAGAAGGCCUUCGGGUUGUAAAGCCCUUUUGUUGGGAAAGAAAUCCAUCUGGUUAAUACCCGGGUGGGAUGACGGUACCCAAAGAAUAAGCACCGGCUAACUUCGUGCCAGCCGCCGCAGUAA